rnacentral:misc_RNA from 1 species
GGGUGGUACUGCAUUAGAGGAAUUUUGUGGGCUGCAGAUUACGAGCUUCCCAAAUCAGUAAUUGCUACGCGAAACCCUGUGUUCAACAAGGCAGGAGUGAUUAUAUCAUGCGGUGCUUCUUUUUUGUGGGAAGACGGUAAGGUGGGAACUUUUCAUUGCUCUUUCCUAUCCAACUUGACAAUGGAUAUAACCGCUGUUGGAACAAAAGGCACGUUACACCUUCACGACUUCAUCAUCCCUUUCGAGGAGAAGAAAGCUUCAUUUACCUCAGCAGUUGAAUCUGGAUUCAAAGAACUCGUAACUGGAUGGGAGCCAAAACCAAGCGAGCACACGGUCACAACAGACAUUCCCCAAGAAGCUCUCAUGGUUAGGGAAUUCUGUAAGCUGGUUCGAAGUAUCAAAAAUGAAGGCGCGAAACCUGAGAAGAAAUGGCCAACUCUUAGCAGGAAGACAACUCUGGUUAUAGAUGCUGUCAAGGCAUCGAUCGAAAAAGGUUUUGAAGCAGUUGAGAUUGUAAGUUAAUCAUCAAUUUUUCUAUAAAUCAAUGUUUAAGGUUUUAAAUUGUCAAUGUAUCUAGUUUGAGCAUACUUCUAUGGCUGCAUCCAAU